CCCGGAAUAGCUCAGUGGGAGAGCAUGAGUCUCAUAAGAGCUCAAGGUCGUUGGUUCGAAUCCUCCUUCCGGGU
rnacentral:tRNA from 1 species